GGAUUAGAUACCCUGGUAGUCCACGCCCUAAACGAUGUCAACUAGUUGUUGGGUCUUUUCUGAUUUGGUAACGAAGCUAACGCGUGAAGUUGACCGCCUGGGGAGUACGGCCGCAAGGUUAAAACUCAAAGGAAUUGACGGGGACCCGCACAAGCGGUGGAUGAUGUGGAUUAAUUCGAUGAUACGCGAGGAACCUUACCUGGGCUCGAAUGGAUUUGGACAAUUUCUGAAAGGAAAUCUCUCUUCGGAGCUGAAUUCAAGGUGCUGCAUGGUUGUCGUCAGCUCGUGUUG
rnacentral:rRNA from 1 species